GGGUAGGUGGCGGAGUGGUCAAUCGCAACAGACUGUAAAUCUGUCGCCUUCGGGCUGCGGGGGUUCGAAUCCCUCCCUACCCA
rnacentral:tRNA from 1 species